rnacentral:tRNA from 1 species
ACGCCCAUAGCUCAGUUUGGUAGAGCGGCGGUCUCCAAAACCGUAGGUCGAGGGUUCAAAUCCUUCUGGGCGUGCCA